rnacentral:ncRNA from 2 species
UAUCUUUGCUGCAGAUUUGGUGUUGCCGAUAUGCAUUAUCGGUAGCUUAAUAGGGAAUCCGGUGCAAGUCCGGAACUAUCCCCGUAGCUGUAAAUCCUAUUUUGUUCAUAAUAGAACAAUGAAAUUUCAGAUAUCACGCCACUGUUUUACGAUGGGAAGGCAUUUGAAAUUAGGAUAAGUCAGAAGACCUGCCAGAUUUAGACAUAUUGA